ACGAACGCUGGCGGCGUGGAUAAGACAUGCAAGUCGAACGAGAGAAUUGCUAGCUUGCUAAUAAUUCUCUAGUGGCGCACGGGUGAGUAACACGUGAGUAACCUGCCCCCGAGAGCGGGAUAGCCCUGGGAAACUGGGAUUAAUACCGCAUAGUAUCGAAAGAUUAAAGCAGCAAUGCGCUUGGGGAUGGGCUCGCGGCCUAUUAGUUAGUUGGUGAGGUAACGGCUCACCAAGGCGAUGACGGGUAGCCGGUCUGAGAGGAUGUCCGGCCACACUGGAACUGAGACACGGUCCAGACACCUACGGGUGGCAGCAGUCGAGAAUCAUUCACAAUGGGGGAAACCCUGAUGGUGCGACGCCGCGUGGGGGAAUGAAGGUCUUCGGAUUGUAAACCCCUGUCAUGUGGGAGCAAAUUAAAAAGAUAGUACCACAAGAGGAAGAGGCGGCUAACUCUGUGCCAGCAGCCGCGGUAAUACAGAGGUCUCAAGCGUUGUUCGGAAUCACUGGGCGUAAAGCGUGCGUAGGCUGUUUCGUAAGUCGUGUGUGAAAGGCGCGGGCUCAACCCGCGGACGGCACAUGAUACUGCGAGACUAGAGUAAUGGAGGGGGAACCGGAAUUCUCGGUGUAGCAGUGAAAUGCGUAGAUAUCGAGAGGAACACUCGUGGCGAAGGCGGGUUCCUGGACAUUAACUGACGCUGAGGCACGAAGGCCAGGGGAGCGAAAGGGAUUAGAUACCCCUGUAGUCCUGGCAGUAAACGGUGCACGCUUGGUGUGCGGGGAAUCGACCCCCUGCGUGCCGGAGCUAACGCGUUAAGCGUGCCGCCUGGGGAGUACGGUCGCAAGAUUAAAACUCAAAGAAAUUGACGGGGACCCGCACAAGCGGUGGAGUAUGUGGCUUAAUUCGAUGCAACGCGAAGAACCUUACCUGGGCUUGACAUGUAAUGAACAACAUGUGAAAGCAUGCGACUCUUCGGAGGCGUUACACAGGUGCUGCAUGGCCGUCGUCAGCUCGUGUCGUGAGAUGUUUGGUUAAGUCCAGCAACGAGCGCAACCCCUGUUGCCAGUUACCAGCACGUGAAGGUGGGGACUCUGGCGAGACUGCCCAGAUCAACUGGGAGGAAGGUGGGGACGACGUCAGGUCAGUAUGGCCCUUAUGCCCAGGGCUGCACACGUACUACAAUGCCCAGUACAGAGGGGGCCGAAGCCGCGAGGCGGAGGAAAUCCUAAAAACUGGGCCCAGUUCGGACUGUAGGCUGCAACCCGCCUACACGAAGCCGGAAUCGCUAGUAAUGGCGCAUCAGCUACGGCGCCGUGAAUACGUUCCCGGGUCUUGUACACACCGCCCGUCACAUCAUGGAAGCCGGUCGCACCCGAAGUAUCUGAAGCCAACCGCAAGGAGGCAGGGUCCUAAGGUGAGACUGGUAACUGGGAUG
rnacentral:rRNA from 1 species